AAUGAACGCUGGCGGCAGGCCUAACACAUGCAAGUCGAACGGAUCCUUCGGGAUUAGUGGCGGACGGGUGAGUAACGCGUGGGAACAUACCCUUUGGUACGGAAUAGCCUCGGGAAACUGGGAGUAAUACCGUAUGUGGUCGAGAGACGAAAGAUUUAUCGCCAAAGGAUUGGCCCGCGUUGGAUUAGGUAGUUGGUGGGGUAAUGGCCUACCAAGCCGACGAUCCAUAGCUGGUUUGAGAGGAUGAUCAGCCACACUGGGACUGAGACACGGCCCAGACUCCUACGGGAGGCAGCAGUGGGGAAUCUUAGACAAUGGGGGAAACCCUGAUCUAGCCAUGCCGCGUGAUCGAUGAAGGCCUUAGGGUUGUAAAGAUCUUUCAGGUGGGAAGAUAAUGACUGUACCACCAGAAGAAGCCCCGGCUAACUCCGUGCCAGCCGCCGCCGUAACAC
rnacentral:rRNA from 1 species